rnacentral:rRNA from 1 species
AUUGAACGCUGGCGGCAUGCCUUACACAUGCAAGUCGAACGGCAGCAUGGAGAGCUUGCUCUCUGAUGGCGAGUGGCGAACGGGUGAGUAAUGCAUCGGAACGUACCGUGUAAUGGGGGAUAACGUAGCGAAAGUUACGCUAAUACCGCAUACGACCUGAGGGUGAAAGCAGGGGAUCGCAAGACCUUGCGUUAUACGAGCGGCCGAUGGCAGAUUAGCUAGUUGGUGAGGUAAAGGCCCACCAAGGCGACGAUCUGUAGCGGGUCUGAGAGGAUGAUCCGCCACACUGGGACUGAGACACGGCCCAGACUCCUACGGGAGGCAGCAGUGGGGAAUUUUGGACAAUGGGGGCAACCCUGAUCCAGCCAUGCCGCGUGAGUGAAGAAGGCCUUCGGGUUGUAAAGCUCUUUCGGCCGGGAAGAAAUCUCACAGGCUAAUACUCUGUGUGGAUGACGGUACCGGCAUAAGAAGCACCGGCUAACUACGUGCCAGCCGCCGCCGUAA